rnacentral:rRNA from 1 species
UGGCGAACGGGUGAGUAACACGUGAGUAACCUGCCCUUGACUUUGGGAUAACUUCAGGAAACUGGGGCUAAUACCGGAUAGGAGCUCCUGCUGCAUGGUGGGGGUUGGAAAGUUUCGGCGGUUGGGGAUGGACUCGCGGCUUAUCAGCUUGUUGGUGGGGUGAUGGCCUACCAAGGCGACGACGGGUAGCCGGCCUGAGAGGGUGAUCGGCCACAUUGGGACUGAGAUACGGCCCAG